AGAGGGAUUGCUGAAUUAUAUGAUAAAUCUAUAUUAAGCCUUUUGAGGAACUGCCAGAAAGUUUUCCAAAGUGGCUGCGCCAUUUAUAUUCUCAUCAGUAGU
rnacentral:pre_miRNA from 1 species